CAUUGUGUUCACUUUGGUAUACUAAAGUUGGAAUGAUACAGAGAAGAUUAGCAUGGCCCCUGCACAAGGAUGGCACGCAAAUUUGUGAAGUAUUCCAUAUUUUU